rnacentral:rRNA from 1 species
AUCUAGAGGAACGCCGAAGGUGAAGACAGGCGACUGGGCCGAUUCUGACGCUCAGGCACGAAAGCGUGGGGAGCAAACAGGAUUAGAUACCCUGGUAGUCCACGCCGUAAACGUUGUGCACUAGAUCCUGGAGGUACUGACACCGUCGGGGUCGAAGAUAACUUGCUAAGUGCACCGCCUGGGGAGUACGGUCGCAAGGCUAAAACUCAAAGGAAUUGACGGGGGCUCACACAAGCGGUGGAGCAUGUGGCUUAAUUCGAGGCAACGCGAAGAACCUUACCUGGGUUUGACAUGCUUGGAUUAGCCUGUCGAAAGACAGGUGACGCUAAUUCUAGUGGAACUUGCACAGGUGCUGCAUGGCUGUCGUCAGCUCGUGCUGUGAAGUGUCGGGUUAAGUCCCUUAACGAGCGAAACCCCUGCCGCUAGUUGCCAUCAGGUCAAGCUGAGCACUCUAGCGGGACUGCCGGUGUCAAACCGGAGGAAGGUGGGGAUGACGUCAAGUCCUCAUGGCCUUUAUGCCCAGGGAUGCACACGUGCUACAAUGGUAGGUACAACGCGACGCGAUGCCGCGAGGCGGAGCAAAUCGCAAAAAACCUGCCCCAGUUCGGAUCGCAGUCUGCAACUCGACUGCGUGAAGUUGGAAUCGCUAGUAAUCGCGUAUCAGCUAUGACGCGGUGAAUACGUUCCUGAGCCUUGUACACACCGCCCGUCAGGUCAUGGAAGCCGGGAGCACCCGAAGUCGCACCGCCUCAGGUGUGCC